rnacentral:lncRNA from 1 species
UUAUUUGUCUUCCACUAGUGAAGGAAGGCACGAUCGAGACUUUCAUACGCUUUAUAAUAAUUCGUCUCACCCUUCCCUUAGAGACUCCCUCAAUAUCACGUACUCAUGGCUUUCUAACAGCUGAGAAAUGAUCUGCUUUUCAGAUAACACCAUCCAGUCGGUUUUCUGUUGCUGCUGUUGCUGUUCAGUGCAGAAGCGACAAAUGAGAACACAGAUAAGCCUGAGCACAGAUGAAGAGCUUCCAGAAAAAUACACCCAGCGUCGCAGGCCGUGGCUCAGCCAAUUGUCAAAUAAGAAGCAAUCCAACACGGGCCGUGUGCAGCCGUCAAAACGAAAGCCACUGCCUCCCCUCCCACCCUCUGAGGUUGCUGAAGAGAAGAUCCAAGUCAAGGCACUUUAUGAUUUUCUGCCCAGAGAACCCUGUAAUUUAGCCUUAAGGAGAGCAGAAGAAUACCUGAUACUGGAGAAAUACAAUCCUCACUGGUGGAAGGCAAGAGACCGUUUGGGGAAUGAAGGCUUAAUCCCAAGCAACUAUGUGACUG